rnacentral:rRNA from 1 species
UUUAGUAACGGCGAGUGAAGCGGUAACAGCUCAAAUUUGAAAUCUGGCUCCCUGCGGAGUCCGAGUUGUAAUUUGUAGAAGAUGCUUUGGGUGCACGACCCGGCCUAAGUGCCUUGGAACAGGACGUCGUAGAGGGUGAGAAUCCCGUAUGCGGCCGGCGUCGUCGCCCAUGUAAAGCUCUUUCGACGAGUCGAGUUGUUUGGGAAUGCAGCUCAAAAUGGGUGGUAAAUUUCAUCUAAAGCUAAAUAUGGGCCAGAGACCGAUAGCGCACAAGUAGAGUGAUCGAAAGAUGAAAAGCACUUUGGAAAGAGAGUUAAACAGUAGGUGAAAUUGUUGAAAGGGAAGCGCUUGCAACCAGACUUGGGCGUCGCUGAUCAUCCAAAGUUCUCUUUGGUGCACUCGACGACGCACAGGCCAGCAUCGGUUGGGGUGGUGGGAGAAAGACUGUAGGAACGUAGCUCUUUUCGGAGAGUGUUAUAGCCUGCGGUGCAAUACCGCCUACCCUGACCGAGGACCGCGCUUCGGCUAGGAUGCUGGCGUAAUGGUUGUAAGCGACCCG